GACGAACGCUGGCGGCGUGCUUAACACAUGCAAGUCGAACGGAAAGGCCCUUCGUGGUACUCGAGUGGCGAACGGGUGAGUAACACGUGGGUGAUCUGCCCUGCACUUUGGGAUAAGCCUGGGAAACUGGGUCUAAUACCGAAUAGGACCACGCGCUUCAUGGUGUGUGGUGGAAAGCUUUUGCGGUGUGGGAUGGCCCCGCGGCCUAUCAGCUUGUUGGUGGGGUAAUGGCCUACCAAGGCGACGACGGGUAGCCGGCCUGAGAGGGUGACCGGCCACACUGGGACUGAGAUACGGCCCAGACUCCUACGGGAGGCAGCAGUGGGGAAUAUUGCACAAUGGGCGCAAGCCUGAUGCAGCGACGCCGCGUGAGGGAUGACGGCCUUCGGGUUGUAAACCUCUUUCGCCAGGGACGAAGCGCAAGUGACGGUACCUGGAGAAGAAGGACCGGCCAACUACGUGCCAGCAGCCGCAGUAACAC
rnacentral:rRNA from 1 species